AGGGGAAUAGCUCAGUGGUAGAGCACAUGCCUGGCAUGCACGAGGUCCUGGGGUCAAUCCCCAGUGCCUCCA
rnacentral:tRNA from 1 species